rnacentral:tRNA from 1 species
GCUCCUGUAGUGUAGUUCGGUCAAUCACUCGGCCCUUUCAAGGCCGAAACCCGGGUUCGAAUCCCGGCAGGAGCA